AUGCUGCUGUGAUAACUUCAUGUGUGUAGCUUUUCCUUUCCUUUAAAUUAUGUCCUGUGAAGAGAUUCCCAGGAGUGAAACUACUGAAAGAUAAGAAAGAGUGGUAUAGUUGAGAUGAAAUUAGCAUUAGGAACAGAAUUGAAGACAAAGAUCAGCCCAGCAAUGGCCCAUUCCCCUGCAGGGAGAAUUCUCAACCAGAUAUUGACUGGUUUAAUUGAUUUCGUGGUGUUCCUGCUCAUCAUGAAUAUAUCCACAAUAACCACAUCAGAAGAGAAGGGGAGAGUGGCAGUUCCUGAUUACUUGAGAACUUCAGGGAAGCCUGAAGACCCACCUGGAAUGUGAAUAAGAGUUUUCAGGUGAUGGCAGCCUUAUUUUAGGGAGCCUAAUUCCUCUUCUGAAAUUGUCUUCAGAUCCAAUUUUCAUACCACCUGUUCACCAUGUGGCCUGAGGAAUCAGGAAAUUGCUGCUACUGCUCAUGUUAGGAAAUUACAAGAAGCCUUCACCAAUGGUCAUAAUCAACCUACAGCACAAAGGAGUCUUCAUGAACCUUUUGUUCACAACCUCAAUCAGUGAAGAGAGGAAGUCCGCUUUCAGCUCCUCUCCAGGAUCCCCGUGGGUGGCUUCCCUCCACCAUAUGUUCCUCCGAAGCUGUGCUGCCCAGCCACUUGCCUUGGGGCUCGGUACAAAUGCAUCUUGGAGGUGAAGUGCUGGGGAAGACGAAAGUGCUCUUUCCAGAUGGCACCAAAUUAGCCUCUUGAGAUACGGAUUUGCCGGGAAUAUGUUUAUAAGGAAAGCAAACAAAGGAGUCCCUGGAGAUUUUAAACAGUCUAGGGCCUUGGGUGGGAAAU
rnacentral:lncRNA from 1 species